GCGGUGGACAAAAGCGUCGGGACACGUGUAGAGUACGUGAAGUAGGCGACAACUCUGCGUUAGGGGCACGGAUGGAAGUGCCCCACCAGAGAGCGCGCAUGCUUUGUGUAAAGUCCUAGCGCAUAUAUUGUAUUGCCCAUGUGCUAGCGUGUUAUUUAAGCUAGCAGUACCAUUGAUGACCCUCAUGUGAAGACCAUUUGUGCUGAACAAUUUACCAAAGAUUACAGGCGGUCCUCGGUCUACGACUGAGAUCCGUUCCGAGAGUAGCGACUGAACUCGAAUUUCGACUUCAGUCGGAUUCCACCAUCAAAGUCAGAAUUUACAUCAAAAUACUUUGUAUAAAAAGCAAAUACAUUGAAAUAAACAAGAGGAUGUACUUAGCAUUACUGCGGAAAAGGUGGAUGGAGAAGAAGAAGGGGAGGCUGUGCUUAGCUAUUGCGAAGGAACCCGAUCCUCAGUCCUCUCCAUCUAGAACCUUGUUUUGUGAUCUUUGUAUCCGACAUAGGAACUGAACCCUUCACAAGCGCUAUGAUACGGGCUUUGUCUUUAAUAAUUGUCACCACGGUCGACCGAUUGAAGCCUUGGCGGUGUUGCUGUCUCUCCUUUCUCCAAUCUUUUUAUGAUCUUGACCUUCGUUUCCAUGGUAAUGGAUUUUCUUUUGGCUGCAGAAGCGUUGCUAAAAGACACAGAUUUCUUCUUUGGGGCGAUAAUGUCUAAAAAGGAGGGCGAAAAAUGCAAAGAUACAGAUACGGAAAGACUCCCAGCGCACAAAUACGGACAAGCAUUAGCCAGACAAAAUGGAGGUCGGGGGACGGGUGUUGUAAAGUCCAAAGGUCUUUGGUUGGGACUGUCUUAACCCGAGGACUCCCUUGUCGUUUUUUAUGUAACACGCAGUCAUGAUUGUUGCUGUCUGCGGAGUCACCACAGUAAAUAACCAAACAGAACACCAGUCUCUGCGCUCAGUGUUUUGCCACCACCUCGUGGCAUCUCAUGGUAGUUACAAACCAGAUUUGGUGCGAAUAUCAAUAACAGGAAGCAGAAUUGCUGGUGGCAGAAAUGAAGACGUUGAAGUUCUCGCUCGGACUGAGCAGGUUGGAUGGGAUUAGAAAUGAGCUCAUUAGUGGGACAGAACAAAGUUGGAUGUUUUGGAGACUUCGAUGGUUUGUACAUGUCCAGAAGCGAGAGAGCGGUGCUUCGUGUCCAUCCUCACCGUUGUGCAACCACGUGACUUUGAUGGGUCGACUCCCCGAGAGGACGCCGCUCAGGGUGAUGUCGUCGCCUUCGUCCACGCAGCAGUCCCGCAGCGGCCGCACAAAGGCGGGCGGGUCGGCAGGCCGGUGCGAGGGGAGGACUCCUGCACAAGAGGCGAGGUAAUUUCUCUUCAGCGGUGGCGUGACGGCAAAAGUAUUUGACAGCUACAGACUUGCCUUACAAUGCCAUAAACGUCGCCGCCGUCAUUUCGCCCGGUCGGCGUUGCAUUGGAGAUCGCCGUCGGGCCUUAUUCGGGAGGACCACGCGCAAAAUGCUGCUGACUGCGGUGGGCACGCUUUGAAUGAGUUGUGACUCACAGCUGACGGUAAAACGCGCGCUCGACAAAAGCUGCGCACGCUCGCGCAACACAAAAUACAACAAAAACAUUUCAGGGGGAGAUUCAAUGCCAACUCUUUCCGAUUCGCCGUGUUUGGCAAUUUUAUCGGCGGUGAGGAAUUCAAAACUGAAUUCAAAUUGCGGUAUGAUGUAGAUUGGGAAGCGAGCUCCAACAAAAUAGCUCUGUGAAUUUUUAUUUUUAAUUUUUUUUUUUUCAUUGAGUGUUUUUGCAAUUCACUCAAAAUAUUCAGAGAUUUACAUUUUAAUUGUAUGAGGUAAAAUGGUGGAUUAUGAUAAUGACCUUUUGUCAAAGAAAUUAUAGAAGAAAAAAAUGACUUUUAAAUCUAAAAUUGAUAUUUGUUAAAAUAAAAAAAGCAUCUUGAAAAUAAAAUGAUUCUAGUCAUA